CUUUCUCCUACAGGCACCCGGUUCGGUUGAGAAGCUUUAGUGUUUGACAUGGCGGCAGGUUUUGUGUGCCAAUCAGAAGGAUGGAUGUCUGGGGACCUCUGCAGGAUCUCAUCGUGGCAAAAUGAAAGACUACUGAAAAAACUAGGACUGGGUGCUGUCACUUCCAAAAGUUGUUAUGCUGUUCAGCAGGACCCAAGAAAAAAAACUUUGCCUGAAGAAGAUUUACUUAGCAUUGGUGGACUAUUAAGUGCAUAGAUAUUGCUCUAUUCAUUUUAAGAAGCAGCAGAACUAACAAGAUUUAAAGACAGAGGCUACCAAUUGUCUAAACCAUGGUCUCAUUUGUUUACUGUUUAUAAUUAAUCCCAACAAUAUAAUGAGGUUUCAAACUGCAGUGCGGUUUUUCUCAAUGCGUAUGUCCCCAAGGUCACUCAUAAAUAAACAUCUGCAUCUUUACAAAACCAUUUAAAAUUGUAUCAUGGACGACUGUUACUACUACUACACAUGUAUAAGCAAAAGCACACUUUGCAAUGUAACCAUUAGUGUUA